GUCCUCUGUUGAAAGUUUAGAUGAAGUCCAAUGGAAUUCUGCAUGUGUAAUUGCAAGAACUUGAGCAAAUCCCAGUUGUUUUCCUUCUCUAAACAAGUGUAAGCCUUCAUAACAUAUUCAAACUGUGACCCAUACAUAUGGGAUGCGCAUGCUGCUUUGUAAGUUACGAGCUGCAAAUCACCCGCAGCAAUUUCUGAUGCAAGCAGGUUCUUGCUGAAGUGACGUGACAACCACCAACGGCAGCGAAUCCUCCAAGCCUUUCUUGACUUCCCUUGUAUAAACAAUUUGGGGAUUCUAUUGUAAUGAACCGAGUAACCUUGUUUUUUUCCACCUUCGCUUCCAUGUAGACAUACUGACACACGGUCCUCUUCGCACUGAGAGACUUUAAGAAAGCAUAAAGCAAACUCUCUCCAUG
rnacentral:misc_RNA from 1 species